CAACUUUAGUAAACGACUCAAGUUCCAUGAGGACUUUCACUUCUUUAUUUAUCAUCACAGAAGUGAGGUGUUACUUCACAUACACACACACACACAAAGAAUGAAAUAAAGAAAUGAAACUCGCUAAGCAGACAAAAAACAGACACUUUCUGCUUAGAAAACAGCCUUCUCCGGUGGGAGAGAAGGAUGGACUGCCAUGUCUAAGAGAAAGACUUGCCCCGAAUUGGUUUUGGCCAGAAAUGGUGAGAAGAAAAAGCAUGAAGAAGCCGCGAAAUGUGGGGGAGAAAAAAGGUGGAAGCGAAGAAACAGCCUCCGGAGCAAACUGUACAAAAACCUCGCCAAGAGUGUCGGGAGGCAGGACCGUUAUUCCUGCGGAGCAGGAGAGAGAGAGACCCUGAAACACGCGCCACCUAUCUUUGUGGGGAGGGAUAAUUGAAGCGCCCUGAGCGUGAGCAUCAUGUGAAAACGUGAUCGCCAAGUUUCUCUCUGGGAAAGGAUCUGGGAUAGAUUAUACCUUGAAGUCUCCGCAAAGGCUUUAGUGGAAGAAAUGAAAUUCCACCUCCCUCCCUUCCUCUCUCCCUCCCUCUCGCCUCCCUCCCUCCCUCCCUCCCUUCUCCACGCCCCCCCCCACCCUACUCCCCCCUCCCCCAGUCAAGCCUUUGGCAUCAUUAUCCUCAUCACUAAAUCCUACAGCGUACUGGGCGGAAAACGGUGCACACCAUUCACAGAACUGGAGAACUCCAAGGGGCGAAAGUUAAAGGGAAAGAUCCCGGGUCCUCAACCCAGAUUGCUUCUUCAUAUACAGAUAUCUCUAAUGACCAGAUUUGAGAUGCACAUUAAGUUGUGUGGAUUUCUCAGCACAGCUUCUGGAACUAAAUUCUCUGCCCUUUUUCUCUCUCUUCUUUUUAGAAGCCAGAACGCGGGGGGGGGGGGGAUGCUGCCUGGGAACUGCAUCUUAGGGUGCGUGUGUUGUUGUGUGUGAUGAAUUUCUGGAUUACAUCCUCAAACUAAAAAAGUAGUUUGGAAUUUUUAAAAUGGGGUUUCUAAGUAAAUUAACAGAGAGCGCUGAGUUGACCAUGUCUGAAUCCCUCUACAUCUCAGGGAGACCUUACUACAAAGUGAGGGAGUGUGUGGAGUGAGGCAGGAGGAAAAGGAGAAAGGCCAUAGAGGAACUUAGCAGGGAAGGAAGAGCAUGAUAUUAAACAGCAUGGGGUCUAAGUUUGGGAGUAUAUAUAUUUUUGAUAUUGCAAUUAAAGUAAAAUUAAAAAGAAAAGACUCCACCUUUG